GGUUAGCAUCCGUUGAGCGGUGCAGACGCCUCGACCGUGAAAAGCUGAGCAGAGACCGAGAGCCUCGUUUCAUAUGAGGCUGGGUAAAGGUCAUCUGAAGUCCUUCCCCGGUGAGCUAAUGCCCUUCGGUUGUGACCACCCCGGAUUUGAAACCGUGACCUACCGCUUUGCCCCACGCAAAGGACGAGUGCUCUGAAACGGACUUGCCAUAAGACAUCAUGGGCCGCUCUAAAUUGUCCGGGAGGACAGGCGUGUGUCCUGCAGCGUGGUCGGUCCAUUCAGAAGAAUCUUGAAUGUUCACAUGCCUCGUGACUUACGAAUGCAUAUUCACCGACGUCAGAGAUCAGGACGUGUGCUUCCUGAGCUUAUUACUGUAACAAGUUUCUCCCAUGCUACUGGGCAGAUUCUCCGUGUCUCCUCGUCCAGACUACUGACUCAGUUUAAGAUUACAUCCUUUUCUCCUUUGCUUUUAUUGCAUUUGCCCUGUAAAACUCAUUCCCUUCGCCUCAUAGGACACCUAGAGACACCAGGGGCAUUCCAAGACUGGGCAUGAGGUGCAGGAGGCCUAACCGCCAGGGAUGGACUUUCUGGGCAUCUUUACCUCUUACAUGGAGAGGUCUCAGGGCCUCUCAGUGUGGCAUCUCUUUAUCUGGCUAGUUGAGCUUCCUCACAGCAUGGCUGCCUUGAGACAAGAAGAUGACUCAUGAGAACUGAAAGCUUCAAGACUCAGCAUUCCAACAGAAAGGCAGAAGCUAUGAAGACUUUUCCAACCGAGACACCGGAGUCACACAGCACCAUUUCCACGGCAUUCUCUUAUUUACAAGUGAAUCCCAAGCGUAUCCAGAUUCCGGGAGAGGGGAAUAAGACACUACUUCCUAUUGGGAGUGUGGCACAGUUCUAGAAGAGCAUUGGGUAAUGGCUAUACUUGGAUAGUAUAAUCUACCACAGAGAGUGCUGCCCAAGCAUUGUUUGUGAAACAAGUAAAUAAAUAGUUCUUAAUGA